rnacentral:rRNA from 1 species
UACGGAGGAUGCGAGCGUUAUCCGGAUUUAUUGGGUUUAAAGGGUGCGUAGGCGGACGCUUAAGUCAGCGGUAAAAUUGCGGGGCUCAACCUCGUCGAGCCGUUGAAACUGGGUGCCUUGAGUGGGCGAGAAGUACGCGGAAUGCGUGGUGUAGCGGUGAAAUGCAUAGAUAUCACGCGGAACUCCGAUUGCGAAGGCAGCAUACCGGCGCCCUACUGACGCUGAGGCACGAAAGCGUGGGUAUCGAACAGG